UUGGAGGGCAAGUCUGGUGCCAGCAGCCGCGGUAAUUCCAGCUCCAAUAGCGUAUAUUAAAGUCGUUGCAGUUAAAAAGCUCGUAGUUGAAUUUUGGGUCUGGCCGGGCGGUCCGCCCUCCGGGUGAGCACUGUUCCGACGCCGGGCCUAUCCUUCUGGUGAGUCGGCAUGUCCUUUGUUGGGUGUGUCGGGGAACCAGGACCAUUACCUUGAAAAAAUUAGAGUGUUCAAAGCAGGCGUAUGCUCGGAUACAUUAGCAUGGAAUAAUGAAAUAGGACGCGUGGUGCUAUUUUGUUGGUUUCUAGAACCGCCGUAAUGAUUAAUAGGGAUAGUUGGGGGCAUUAGUAUUCAAUUGUCAGAGGUGAAAUUCUUGGAUUUAUUGAAGACUAACUUCUGCGAAAGCAUUUGCCAAGGAUGUUUUCAUUAAUCAAGAACGAAAGUUAGGGGAUCGAAGACGAUCAGAUACCGUCGUAGUCUUAACCAUAAACUAUGCCGACUAGGAAUCGGGCGAUGUUAUUCUCAUGACUUGCCCGGCGCCUUAUGGGAAACCAAAGUGUUUGGGUUC
rnacentral:rRNA from 1 species